rnacentral:rRNA from 1 species
GACGAACCGUACGAACGUUAUUCGGAAUCACUGGGCUUAAAGGGUGCGUAGGCUGCGCAGCAAGUUGGGUGUGAAAUCCCUCGGCUUAACCGAGGAACUGCGCCCAAAACUGCUGUGCUCGGGGGAGAUAGAGGUGAGCGGAACUUAGGGUGGAGCGGUGAAAUGCGUAGAGAUCGGGAGGAACACCAGAGGCGAAGGCGGCUAGCUGGACAGUCACUGACACUCAACUACGAAAGCGUGGGGAGCAAACAGG